UACAGGGGGGUGCAAACGUUGCUCGGAAUCAUUGGGCGUAAAGCGCACGUAGGCGGUUCGUUAUGUCGGAUGUGAAAGCCCUUGGCUUAACCGAGGAAGUGCAUCCGAAACUGGCGAGCUAGAGUACUAAAGAGGAUCGCGGAAUUCCCGGUGUAGAGGUGAAAUUCGUAGAUAUCGGGAGGGACACCGGUGGCGAAGGCGGCGAUCUGGGUAGAUACUGACGCUGAGGUGCGAAAGCGUGGGGAGCAAACAGG
rnacentral:rRNA from 1 species